rnacentral:sRNA from 1 species
CCAUCUCAACUAACGCUGGCAACCAGACAGGAGCUUCCUAAAAGUCACACAUUCUCCAUGUGUUGGUGAGAACAAAUGGCGCCUGCCUCCUGCAUCUAUUUUAAGAGUCUGGCAUGUAAAUAUGGAAGAUGACUAAGACUGACCCACACAAUUUUGGGUGGAAAGAAGCCAAUAGCGAAUGAGCCUGAAGCCAAAAAGGCAAAGAGGUGAUGGUCUUGGAACAGUCAUCAAUAUUGCUGCAAAGAAUACUAAGUCAGCGCAGUUAUCUCUGCUGGGAGAGGGGAGAAGAAUGAUCUAACACAACAGCUGACUCGACAAGCUGGCGCUUUGAUCCUAAUAAGAAUCUCAUGAGAGACACAGACACGCAACCUAUCAGAUUCUCCUCUGUAUCUCGACUCUGCUCCUGGUUCUGCUUCCUGGCACAUAGAAGAUUGUACACUCAUCCAGAUGGAUCCAUGAAGCAAGCAUCAGACAAAAGCAUUACUUCCAGGAUUUGCCACUUGAGAUUCUCCAGAAUUACUUUUCUGGAGAUGCAUCAUAUGAGAGACAGCAAGUUUCAGUGGGCGGAGUCAAUGUCAGCUUGGGCACCUGAGUAACUAUCACCCAGAGUAAAGUCCCUAGUAUUGAUCCAACUUGGACAUCACAAUGAAAGAAAAAUCAGGCAAUGGGUUGGUAUUAUAAUAUAAAGACUAUUACAACAUUGGCAGAGAUGAGCCAUUAUAUUUCUGAUAUUAAACGCCAUCCUGUUUGAAAUACUCAGAGUAGCUUUUAACUUCUUCACUAAUAAAGCUAAUAUAGGUUCCCAACUCAACCAGGAGAUGAGUAGGAGGGACCUCUUGUGAUAAGUGACACCUGUCCUGUCUGAAGAAGAGCUCAGAAUAAAUGAGUUGGGAAAAGAAAGACCUGUUCAGACAGAGUGUACAGUGUCAGGAAAAUCUCUGAUGGAGAAAAAGUAUUACAGCUAU